rnacentral:rRNA from 1 species
UGGGGAAUUUUGGACAAUGGGCGAAAGCCUGAUCCAGCAAUGCCGCGUGUGUGAAGAAGGCCUUCGGGUUGUAAAGCACUUUUGUCCGGAAAGAAAUCCUUGGCUCUAAUACAGUCGGGGGAUGACGGUACCGGAAGAAUAAGCACCGGCUAACUACGUGCCAGCAGCCGCGGUAAUACGUAGGGUGCAAGCGUUAAUCGGAAUUACUGGGCGUAAAGCGUGCGCAGGCGGUUUGCUAAGACCGAUGUGAAAUCCCCGGGCUCAACCUGGGAACUGCAUUGGUGACUGGCAGGCUAGAGUAUGGCAGAGGGGGGUAGAAUUCCACGUGUAGCAGUGAAAUGCGUAGAGAUGUGGAGGAAUACCGAUGGCGAAGGCAGCCCCCUGGGCCAAUACUGACGCUCAUGCACGAAAAGCGUGGGGAGCAAAACAGGAUUAGAUACCCUGGUAGUCCACGCCCUAAAACGAUGUCAACUAGUUGUUGGGGAUUCAUUUCCUUAGUAACGUAGCUAACGCGUGAAGUUGACCGCCUGGGGAGUACGGUCGCAAAGAUUAAAAACUUAAAUGGAAUUGACGGGGUCAUAGCUGUUUCCU